rnacentral:rRNA from 1 species
GACGAACGCUGGCGGCGUGCUUAACACAUGCAAGUCGAGCGGCAAGGCCCUUUCGGGGGUACACGAGCGGCGAACGGGUGAGUAACACGUGGGUGACCUGCCCUCAGCUCCGGGAUAAGCCUGGGAAACCGGGUCUAAUACUGGAUAUGACUCCAUGACGCAUGUUGUGGGGUGGAAAGCCUUGUGCGGCUGAGGAUGGGCCCGCGGCCUAUCAGCUUGUUGGUGGGGUGANGGCCUACCAAGGCGACGACGGGUAGCCGGCCUGAGAGGGCGACCGGCCACACUGGGACUGAGACACGGCCCAGACUCCUACGGGAGGCAGCAGUGGGGAAUCUUGCGCAAUGGGCGAAAGCCUGACGCAGCGACGCCGCGUGA